rnacentral:rRNA from 1 species
UACGGAGGGGGCUAGCGUUGUUCGGAAUUACUGGGCGUAAAGCGCGCGUAGGCGGACCUGCAAGUCGGGGGUGAAAGCCCGAGGCUCAACCUCGGAACUGCCUUCGAUACUGCGGGUCUCGAGUCCGGGAGAGGUGAGUGGAAUUCCUAGUGUAGAGGUGAAAUUCGUAGAUAUUAGGAAGAACACCAGUGGCGAAGGCGGCUGCA